AUUCAUUUUCCCAGUCGCAAGCUUUUCCGAAGAUAGCUUGGUCACAAGGUCGAUGUCUGUCUGUUUGAAUAACAUAUUGAUCUAAGUUUGUAAUUGAUAUGUUAUUUAUGUUUACUUACCCACAAAUGUUAGGCCUGCAGUAAUGUCACCGCCGAAGGUACGUUCACAGAUGUUACAGACAUCAAUCAACUGGUAGGAACAAGUGGCUGGUUUGGGAAUUUGAAAGUCUGCGUACUGAGAAUCUCAGUGAGAUAUUGUCAAACCAGGAGCUACAAUGGAUAGCGGAGAGAUGGAGGCCGAACACAAGUUUAUAGGCAGGGAAAAACUGUCUGAGGACCUUGUUAGCCAGGUCGUGUCAAAGAAGACACGUGUGAUCUGUUUAGACGGAGAACCGGGCAUUGGUGUGUCAAGAUUUGCCGAGUUCUGCUUGAGAAGGGUUGAGGAACAUCAGCAACACACAUGCUUCUUUAUUGACUGUCAGAAAGUUCCAGGAAAAACAAAAGAAGAAGUUGAGGAAAACUUUAAGACAUGUUUUGAAGAAGAUGUUAUCCAAAAGACUGUAACAAAGUCAUCAACUAUUUUUGACAGCAGUAAUCGGCAGGAAAUGAUAGAUGAUCUGGUGAAGAAGUUUGCAGCAUUUCUUCAUGGAAAUCAAGAAUCUCAUGUGAAUCUCCUGUUGGACAAUAUUGAUCGGAACAGCAAGGGUAUCGUACAGUCGUUUGUGAUCAAUGCACUUAAGUCAUUCAAAAGAAGAAUCACAAAUGUAACUUUUAUUCUAACUUCUCGGAUGAAGCUCUCUUUUUCACAAUUUAAAAUGGAAUCAGUGAAAAUCCAGCCUUUCACCAAAGAUGAAGUGAGGAAAUUCUUUCUUGACAACUUUGACUUUUCAUUCCGAGAAGAUGUAUUCAGGAUUGUUCAUGACUGGUGUGGUGGGAACGUGACUGUCUUGUGUUUAGUAGGUCGGGAACUGAGAGAUCUUGAAGACAUGUCCUUUGACCAGGAGGACUUGUCAGCUGUUAUUGUCCAAGGGUCAUCACAAGAUGCUUUACGCCUCGUCAACAGCGAAAGCUUGGCAGAUGAGGAGAAAUGGAGCCAAAUCUUUGCUCGAUUCUUUGAACAGCUGGCUAGAAGAGCACAAGAUCAUUUGCAGAAAGUUGCAUAUUUUGCCAGUGACUUCACAGCAGAGGAUUUGAACAAAAUGCGUCCAAAUGAGUCUGUAGCUCUGACAAAACACCGUGUUCUUGUUGAGCUUAUGAGGACAAAUGCUAUUCGUCACAAUCGGACUGACAAAACCUUCAAGGUUGAUCAACUGACUAAACAGUGGCUGGCCACCCAGGAAAAAGGAACUGACGAGGACUGCUGGCUUGAUCCGUCUAACCAUGGCCGUGAUGAUGAGGUUCAAGACACAAAAACCGACCCCUUUUCUGAAUCUAUGGAUGACAACACACAGCAGCCUGUUAAAGCAAACGGACAGGUAGAUGGAAAUAUCAAACCUGGCCACAUAACGCUGAAUGAACUUUUGCGGCAAAGGAAUGUGAUUUCUGAACCAAGCCAGCACGAUGGUUCCAAUCAAUCGUCCGGUGAGCUGAAGAACAAUACUCCUGAUAUUGCUGGAACUGGGCCCCUGGAGUCUCCAGCAAGAUCUGAGAGAUGUGACAAUGUAACUCUCAACAUUGUUGCAAGUGACGGCAGGCCUAUGGCAUCUUCAACUCCAUCUUUGUGUCAGCCACAAGGAUGUGUUAAUCUGUGUGGUGAUCCCUCUCCGAAGGAAAAACUACCAGAACGCUUUAAAGACUUAUCAAUAAAACCUUGUAACCUUGACAAUAAUACCAGUGGUUUUGAAGGGAGGAGUGUAGAUUUAGGGGAGUUCAAUGGUUAUGCAGAUCCAAGUCGUAAGCAGCACAUAUUUUCGGAGAGUAGUGUGGACAGUUUUGAAAACAAUGAACUGCAGCCUACAGCCAUGCCCACGCCUUUUAGAAAAUCGGCAUCUAUCCCAGAACAGGAUGAACCUCAUGCCAUGAUCAGCAAAGAUAAAGGAUCUGCCUCUGUGGUUGAUUUUGUUCAAGGGUCACCCUCUCAACAUGUUGAACAGACACUACCAUAUGAACAUACACUACCAUGUGAACAGAAAACUACAUGUGAACAGACAGCACCAAGUGAACAGACACCAGCAUGUGAACAGACAGCCCCAAGUCCCUGUAGACAAACUGAAGCAUCAUGGACAAAUGUACCUUCAGAUAACGACAGAAUAGAAUCUCAGACUCUUUUAAAAUUUGCUUUAAUGGCAGAUCAGCCAAGAGAAGCCUCGGACGUGCAAGGAUGUGACCAUGAACAGUUCAACAUGACCUCAUCGGGACCCUUUGCCAUGGCAAAGAAGACAAAAGAUGAUCAUAGAAAUCUUCUAAAACAAGAUGCUGUAGAUAAAUCAGAAUGGCAUGCGGACACAGAAGAGAAUCAUCAAAACUACUCAGCACAAAAGACAGAAUCAGUGAUGGGAAGAACCAGCGGUGGAGAGGGACACUUGGAAGGGCAUCAAGACCUUGCAUCAGGGAUGAGACACAACAGUUCCUACUUCGACUCUGAUACUCCUGCAACAGUCCGACCUCCACCCGACCGCCAUCUUUUUGGAGCAUUCAAUAGGACUAAUGAAGAAAGAACUAACAUCAGCUCAAGGAGAUCGGACACAGGGGGAAAAGAUGUGACUGACAAAGGUGCACAGAACGUUCAGAAUUCUAGAACUGUUUAUGUUCAGCCAAUACAGUGCACUUCAGUCGGACUCCCACAGGGCUGCACCCCUUCUGACCAACAGAACAUCCAGUAUCCCAGCUUGGACCAAUCAGCAAGGUCAUAUGUAGAACCAAUUCAGUUGUUUCAAACAGCCCCAGGUGAUGUUCUGGAGCAGCAGUUGCCCCAUUACAGACUACCUUGCCCAGGGAGUGCUGUCACACUGAACUCUCAGCAUUACCCCAGGAGUCAUUUCCCACUGAAUACUCAGUCCCACCCCAUGCGAGGUGCGACAUGGCACUCACAGCCUCAACCUAGAGGAGGUGGGCAGACACGUCCUGCAUUAAGACAUAAUGUCCAGCAGCAAUCAUCUGCUCAAAUCUUCAGUUCUUCAAUGGCACAGCUUCCAUUACUUGCCAGUGAGUAUUCCCCUGAUUCAACACAGAGCCAGCCAGUUCCAAGCUUCCCUAGCCACAUUAGUACAGUGACACCAUCCAGCAAUCAUCAGAACCCCCAGCAUAGAUGUACAUCAUCAGGGACUUCCAGCAUACGGUUGCACCCACAGGGACCUCAAGGACCAUGGGGAGUACAGAUCAGACAUGCUGCUUCCCAGCCUUUACAACAGCCAACUCAAAACUCAAUUCCUAGCAUUCAUCUGAUUGCUCAGCAACAGCAAUACUACCAGCAACAACAGCAGUGGCAGCAGCAGCAACAAUACUACCAGCAACAGCAGCAGUGGCAGCAGCAGCAACAAUACUACCAGCAACAGCAGCAAGUGGCAGCGACUUAUCAGCAGAACCUUCCCAGCUUCCGUUUUCAGAGAAAUGAGCCAAUAAGAACACCAAUGAUGUGUGCCAUGCAACCAGAGAGUGCUGGAUUCAUCAGUCAUGUCCAUCAGCAUUAACCCCUGUGUGUGUCCCAGGCAUUAACCCCUGUGGGUGUCCCAGGUUAGAAUGGGUUCCUGACACUAUGGGUGGCCAGUGACCCGAUUCAUUGUGUGAAAUGGUUAUGAAACUAUUAAACAUUUUCUUAACCUUCCAGAGCAAAGUAUGAUGUUUGAUCAACCAAAUAUGUUUUCAUUCUCUUACUUGCUUGUUUUUAUUUACAGGUUUAUGUAUACUGGCUUAUUAGAGAUGGCGCACAGAUAAAUGUCCUUACUUGAAUCAUCAAUUACACAGUGUUUAUAUCUUCAGCAACUAUUUCCCAAACUCAGAUAGAUGUAAUGGAGAUACUUACUUUAGAUGUGGUCUAUUGUGUCAAAUUGCACCAAAAGUCAGAAUCACUUUUCACUUGGCCUUGACCUCUGAGAGUAAGGCUCUCACAGGGUUCCUUUGAACUCCAGCGCUGGUUAGGUUCAGAUGAAGUCGAGCAGUUGACCAAGGUACAUAACUCAUACCUGUGUUUCUCUAACAUGCAUGGCAUCCAUGGAAAAGAAGCUGUACAGUGUCUUGAGGUAGAAAGAAAAAUGACAAACAGUUGAUGUUUUUGCAUGUUCCUGUUAAAAUCCAACAGUCCAGUUUAAUGGAACUAAGGGUACUUGAGUACAUCUUUUCUAUUCAUCAGAUGCCUAUCUGAAGGGUGUUUCCUCUAAAAUGUUUGACCUAUGAAUCUUUCUCCACUAAAUGAUUUGAUGUGUAUAUUUAUUGUGUAUAGUUAUUUGGUAUGGCUGCCAUAAUGGACAAGGUAUUAGUGACUGCUUCCAGCUCAGUUGAUUGCAUCAUUCAGUAUAUUGUAAAUGAAGCUGUAUCGCUUAUUAUUUCUAACAAUGAUAGCUCAUGGACAUAGAUGAAUGUUCUUGACUAGAAGAAUGAUGAAUCAGGCUGUCAAAUGUCUGUGAUUUGAGGGUGAUGUUCUGUGUACGUGUAUGAUACACAGUUCAGUCACUUCUGUUCCAUCCACUUCCUGGCACGUCUUCCAUCUUGCCUGGCUAAGCAAUACUCAGAUCAGUGCUCACUAGUGUUGACUUGUUCUGCUUGAGAUUAUCUAUUUUAUUGGGUAUCCUUUAUUUAUGAUUCAAAGUAUUUAUGUGUAUGACACAUAUAUAUUAUUACAGGCACUAUUUAUGACACUUUGUAACAUCUCUGAAGAAUUAUCUCAUGGAGAUCACUUCAGUAAUAUUUAUCCAAGUUUCUAUGAAUAUGAUAAACAUGUGACCUUGGUAUGAUUAUUUUGUACAGAUGUGACAUUUUACUUGCCAGUUGAGUGUGUUAUUAGCUCAUCAGAAAAUGGCUGCCUUAAAUCUCACUCAGACAUGACCCUGUUAUUAUUCAACAGCUGUACAUCUCAGUCCGAGGGGUUGUCUCCCUUAUGUCAACCAACCAAAUGAAAUGUCAAGAUGACUGAUGUAAAUAAACCUUACAGUUUGUCACAUACACUAUUGACUGUCGGGCUGGAUAUACUUUUGUCUGUUUGCCUUGUCAAGUACAUUUUCUUUUCAAGACAUUUAACGUUACCAGAUAUGUAUGCAUAUUACUUCAGCAUAAUAACUCAUUCGUAACCAACUUGUGUUAUUCUGGGACAAGCCGAAUAUGUUAUGGAAAGGGGCGAGUGGUGAUGAAUGAUAACAACUGCGCUGUUAGGUUUUUAUAUUUACACCAGUAUCUGUUUACCCUAUGCUGUCUGACGGUCUGGAAGAUCACCAUUUUGGAAAUCUUGGACCCAACAUGAGAUUAAGAUUACGGCAGUUUGUUUAUAUGUGUUGUGAUGUUUUGAUGUAUUGGGGAUACAUCAAGUCUUUAUUGAGGAUAAUUAAGACCUAUAGAUUUGUCUAUAGACAUAAUACCUGUGAAGGUCCGGGUUAGAAUUGAUCUUCAGUAAACCAUGCUUGUUGUAAGAGGCUACUAAUGGGGUCGAGUGGUCAGGCUCACUGACUUGGUUGAC
rnacentral:misc_RNA from 1 species